rnacentral:rRNA from 1 species
GCCAGCAGCCAUAUCACCCUGUAGCCCAAGACUGGUUGCCCACUGAAGUUAAGCAGGGCUGAGCCUGGUCAGUACCUGGGUGGGAGACCUCCUGAGAAAAACUAGGUUGCUGCUGGAA